ensembl:lncRNA
AUUUACCACUAAUCCAAACCGAAUUGAGCCAAAGCACAUCAAAUUAUUUAUUUGUUGCCAUAUUUGUUUACAUUUCUUUCAAAUCACAUGACUUUGGAAAAUACAUUUUAAGCAUGUAUCCAAUGAGAGAGAGCACAGGCCCUAGUUGUGCAAUGACAGAAAUCUGAUAACCCCCAUUAAUCUCCAUAAUAACAUUCACUCAGUUGCUCUUGUGCAACAUUUGCGUAGCAGAGUUGAGAGACCAAAAUCUGCUUGGAAUUCUCUGCUGCUCACACAGGAAUAACACACUCACCAUGGAGGUGCACAUGCAUUCUCUUCUCUUUCUGAUGCUGGGUGUGUGCUGUUCAGGGAGAGAACAGAAAGAGGUAUUUGAGAAUAAAAGUUCGGACCUGAAAUCGGUAAAUGGAGAGCCUCCUUAUCUCAACCUGGCAUGUGAAGUUGAUGAAUGCUGAUGGAAACAAACUCAAGAAAUCAACAUACAAAUUUUUAGGUGGCGCUAGGUCAAAGGACUACCUCAACCCUGAUAUUUCAAAGUACAGUCAAUCUCAAUAUUAAGUCAUUAUCAAAACCUUGUAGCAUAAAAAGUGAUGCUUAUGGGAAUAAAUAUUAGC